rnacentral:snoRNA from 1 species
GAGACAACACUUUCAGGCAUCAUUUCUAUAGUUUGUUACUAGAGAAGUUUCAGGAGGAGGUGCGGCAGGGUUUUCUGGUGAGCCUGAACCCAUCCUUGUUCUUUGGUGUUGCUUCUGACAUUUACCACCAGUGAAUGUUUGCCCUGCCUUUGGAGAGGAAUAGGGAGAGGACACAGUCUGA